rnacentral:rRNA from 1 species
UACGGAGGGGGCUAGCGUUGUUCGGAAUUACUGGGCGUAAAGCGCACGUAGGCGGCUUUGUAAGUUAGAGGUGAAAGCCCAGGGCUUAACCCUGGAAUUGCCUUUAAGACUGCAUCGCUAGAAUCGUGGAGAGGUAAGUGGAAUUCCGAGUGUAGAGGUGAAAUUCGUAGAUAUUCGGAAGAACACCAGUGGCGAAGGCGACUUACUGGACACGUAUUGACGCUGAGGUGCGAAAGCGUGGGGGAGCAAACAGG